CCGUUUAAGUGAUUCCACAGAAUGGCUAUUGUACCCUUAUUCCCUCAGCUGCUGUAAUAGGCAUUCAAGGGUUGGGGGUCUGAAUUGCUAUUCAAUGCCAGAACCGUAAUAACAUUUUCACAUUUUUAGACCAAAAUAGUCUGCCUCUCUUCUUCCCAAAAUUCUGUCCAGAUUUAUUCCUCAACAUUUAUCCCCAAAUCAAGUCAAACAACCAUUCGCCCUUCAUCUUCAUCUCCCCAAAUAAAUUAAAGGGUUGGAGACAAAGCGCAAAAGGGUCAGGUGUUAUGCAUCAUUGAAGCAAUGAAGUUGAUGAAUGAAAUAGAAGCAUAUCAAUCAGGAACCAUAGUCGAGAUUCUUGUAGAAGAUGGCAAAGCAGUCAGUGUUGGUACGCCUCUGUUCGUGAUUGAACCUUGAAAUAAGACUAUCAAGUAGCAAAGUAAAAGGUGGGAAGGAUAGGCAAGAGAGCAGGUUGAGUUGGUGGGAUUUUCCUUCCUGGUAAUUUAGUUUGGAUUCAUUAAAUGGGCAGCUUCUUUUGUAGUCUAGUAGCUUAUUAUAUACUUCUAGUCUUACAGCUAUAGCAAAUAAAAAUGUUAUUCAAACAAAUGUUAUUAUAUACUUCUAGUACGGGAUACUUCAUGCUUUUUACUUUCCAUUGUUCAAAUAAAAAUGUUAAUUCAAACAAAGAACAAA